ensembl:lncRNA RNF32-DT RNF32 divergent transcript
GCCGGCCCCCGCCCCGCGCACGGCGUCAGCGUCUAGACGCAGGCCCUCCUGGUGAGAUCCCAUCACGUCCCCUGGCCUCCAGUGUCAUCUGCUCUGCAUGAUAUCUCCAGGGGGACCUCUCUGCUGGGCUCCAGGCCGCAUGGCUGUGGGUGACCAGCAUCAUGUCCCACCGGGUCCCCUGCAGUCCCAGUGCACCUGCCUGCUCAUCCAGGGACCUGUCCUCACUGCCUGCUGCCUGCACUGUGUGGAAGGACAGAGGCUAAACGACGAAGCCUCGAGCUCUGGUCUCAUGGAAAUGGCAGCCUGCCCACCACCCACGCUUGCCCAGCCUUUCUUCACGCAGGAAGAAUAUUUCUCAGCCCUCCGUUCUCAAGACAGAUGAGUGCUUUAGAAAGAGGACUCUGCAGCGGUGAGGAGGAUGGAAUGACAGGCAAAGCACGCAGGACCAGGAGAUGGCUUCGUUCCCUCAAUCACUCAUCCAAAGACGUUUAAUGAGCACCUAUUGUGUGUCAGGCAUUGUACCGGGCAAUGGGGAUAUCGUAGUCAGUAAUAAGUGAGGAGAGAUGAGUUCAUUUGUGAGAGGCUCUGACCAGUGGAAUCAGAGGAAGGGAGUUCCCCUGGGUGGGCCAGGUUCAAAGACAUUUUGGAAGUAGAAUCUGCAGAACAUGAUGAUCUUUUGGAAACAGGGCAGGGACGUGAAUGAGCACGUAAUGUCCCCAUGGGUUUGUCUUUCCGAAGGUUUAAAAUCCUCAAGAAUAAGGAACAUAGGCAUGUGUCGUAACGGUCUCCACAGUGGGGGAGUAUUAUGUUAGUGCACCUGCAUGUUAACUCUGCUCAUGAAGGGGCCACGUCUUCACCACCACAAAGCCUCAAGCAUGCAUAUCUGGUCCCUCCAACCCCCUCCCUAUUGAGGUGCAAUAAAGGCCCAUGUUUCUCCUAGUAUGGGAACAGAACUAA